GAUGAACGCUGGCGGCGUGCCUAAUACAUGCAAGUCGAGCGAACGGACGAGAAGCUUGCUUCUCUGAUGUUAGCGGCGGACGGGUGAGUAACACGUGGAUAACCUACCUAUAAGACUGGGAUAACUUCGGGAAACCGGAGCUAAUACCGGAUGAUAUUUUGAACCGCAUGGUUCAAAAGUGAAAGACGGUCUUGCUGUCACUUAUAGAUAGAUCCGCGCUGCAUUAGCUAGUUGGUAAGGUAACGGCUUACCAAGGCAACGAUGCAUAGCCGACCUGAGAGGGUGAUCGGCCACACUGGAACUGAGACACGGUCCAGACUCCUACGGGAGGCAGCAGUAGGGAAUCUUCCGCAAUGGGCGAAAGCCUGACGGAGCAACGCCGCGUGAGUGAUGAAGGUCUUCGGAUCGUAAAACUCUGUUAUUCGGGAAGAACAUAUGUGUAAGUAACUGUGCACAUCUUGACGGUACCUAAUCAGAAAGCCACGGCUAACUACGUG
rnacentral:rRNA from 1 species